GACGAACCGUGCGAACGUUAUUCGGAAUCACUGGGCUUAAAGCGCGUGUAGGCGGGCGGGUACGUCGGCCACUGAAAGCCCCCGGCUCAACCGGGGAAGGGGUGCCGAAACGGCCGGCCGUGGAGGGGCGUAGGGGGGACCUGGAACUUCCGGUGGAGCGGUGAAAUGCGCAGAUAUCGGGAAGAACACCCGUGGCGAAGGCGGCACUCUGGGACGGUACUGACGCUGAGACGCGAAAGCGUGGGUAGCAAACGAGG
rnacentral:rRNA from 1 species